rnacentral:rRNA from 1 species
UCACUAUAGGAUGGGCCCGCGGCGCAUUAGCUAGUUGGUGGGGUAACGGCCUACCAAGGCGACGAUGCGUAGCCGACCUGAGAGGGUGAUCGGCCACACUGGGACUGAGACACGGCCCAG